rfam:Sorangium cellulosum So0157-2, complete genome.
UUCCCUCUGCCGACUUCGUGAGGCGCUGGACGAUUGAAUCCCGAGUAAGCGAGAACCAGGGAGCCAACAACGAUACCGUGGUGAGCUAGGCCCGGAACCAUUCACCGGGAAGCCUGAAGCGGUACUUAGGCUCCCACCUAGCAGCUAUGCUAGGGGUUCAAGUCCUUCUGCCCACGUCCUCGGCGGUACGGAA